AUUGAACGCUGGCGGCAGGCUUAACACAUGCAAGUCGAGCGGGGUGAUGGUGCUUGCACUAUCACUUAGCGGCGGACGGGUGAGUAAUGCUUAGGAAUCUGCCUAUUAGUGGGGGACAACACCUCGAAAGGGAUGCUAAUACUGCAUACGUCCUACGGGAGAAAGCAGGGGAUCACUUGUGACCUUGCGCUAAUAGAUGAGCCUAAGUCGGAUUAGCUAGUUGGUGGGGUAAAGGCCUACCAAGGCGACGAUCUGUAGCGGGUCUGAGAGGAUGAUCCGCCACACUGGGACUGAGACACGGCCCAGACUCCUACGGGAGGCAGCAGUGGGGAAUAUUGGACAAUGGGGGGAACCCUGAUCCAGCCAUGCCGCGUGUGUGAAGAAGGCCUUAUGGUUGUAAAGCACUUUAAGCGAGGAGGAGGCUCUUUUGGUUAAUACCCAAGAUGAGUGGACGUUACUCGCAGAAUAAGCACCGGCUAACUCUGUGCCAGCAGCCGCCGUAA
rnacentral:rRNA from 1 species